GGGCCCGUAGUCUAGCGGUAGGAUUGAAAGCCGUUCCCUAAAGCCCGCCUGACGCGCGGGAGAUCCCGGGUUCAAAUCCCGGCGGGCCCA
rnacentral:tRNA from 1 species